GACGAACGCUUGCGGCGUGCCUAAGAAAUGCAAGUCGAACGGGUGGAGCAAUCCAUCAGUGGCGAACGGUCGCGUAACACGUAAGCAACCUGCCCUAAGGUGGGGGACAACAGUCCGAAAGGACUGCUAAUACCGCAUUUUGUCGCAAAGAGGCAUCUUUUUGCGUCCAAAGCCUUGUGCGCCUUACGAUGGGCUUGCGGCCUAUCAUGUAGUUGGUGGGGUAACGGCCUACCAAGCCGACGACAGGUAGCUGGUCUGAGAGGACGAUCAGCCGGAUUGGGACUGAGAUACGGCCCAGACUCCUACGGGGGGCAGCAAUUAGGAAUCUUGCGCAAUGGGGGAAACCCUGACGCAGCGACGCCGCGUGCGGGAGGAAGGCCUUCUGGUCGUAAACCGCUUUUGUCGGGGAAGAAGGAUGUGACGGUACCCGACGAAUAAGCCCCGGCUAACUACGUGCCAGCAGCCGCGGUAAUACAUAUGGGGCGAGCGUUGUCCUAAGUUACUGGGCGUAAAGCGCGCGUAGGCGGUUUCUUAAGUCUGGGGUGAAAGGUUCAGCGCUCAACGUGAACAGUGCCCUGGAGACUGGGAGACUUGAGUCUGGGAGAGGAGAGUGGAAUUCCGGGUGUAGCGGUGAAAUGCGUAGAUAUCCGGAGGAACACCAAUGGCGAAGGCAGCUCUCUGGCCUAAGACUGACGCUGAGGUGCGAAAGCGUGGGGAGCGAACGGGAUUAGAUACCCCGGUAGUCCACGCCGUAAACGAUGAGUGCUAGGUGUUCGAGGUAUCGACCCCUCGGGUGCCGUCGCCAACGCAUUAAGCACUCCGCCUGGGGAGUACGGCCGCAAGGUUGAAACUCAAAGGAAUUGACGGGGGCCCGCACAAGCGGUGGAGCAUGUGGAUUAAUUCGUCACUAACCGAAGAACCUUACCCAGGCUUGACAUGCAGGGAUAACCGGAUCGAAAGGUUCGGGAUUGCCCGCAAGGGGGUAACCUGCACCGGUGUUGCAUGGCUGUCGUCAGCUCGUGUCGUGAGAUGUUGGGUUAAGUCCCGCAACGAGCGCAACCCUCACCGUAUGUUGCCAGCGUAAAGACGGGAACUCUUACGGAACUGCCCGUGCAAGCGGGAGGAAGGUGGGGACGACGUCAAGUCGGCAUGGCCCUUACGUCUGGGGCUUCACACAUGCUACAAUGGGCGGUACAGAGGGGGGCAAACCCGCGAGGGGGAGCGAAUCUCAAAAAACCGUCCUCAGUUCGGAUUGCAGGCUGCAACUCGCCUGCAUGAAGCCGGAAUCGCUAGUAACCGCAGGUCAGCGAAACUGCGGUGAAUACGUUCCCGGGCCUUGUACACACCGCCCGUCAAGUCACCUGAAUUGUCUGCACCCGAAGCCGGUGGCCUAACCCGCAAGGGAAGGAGCCGUCUAAGGUGUGGGGAGUAAGGGGGACUAAGUCGUAACAAGGUAGCCGUAUCGGAAGG
rnacentral:rRNA from 1 species